UUUUUGUAGAGACAGAGUCUCCCUAUGUUGCCCAGGCUAGUCUCAAACCCCCAGGCUCAAGCUGUCCUCCUGCAUCAGCCUUCCAGUGUGGGAAUUACAGUUGUGAGCUACUGCACCCAUGAGAAUUUGCAUUUCUAACCAGUCUGUAGGUGAUGCUGAUGGUGCCGGGCACUAUACCAUGGGGACCACUGCUCUAGAAUAAAGCUGACUGAGUCUUUAGGGACAAGAGUAAACUCCAGCUGUAGCCCUGACUAUAGGUUGCUUCUGUCACCCCCUCUAGGGUAUGCAGAAAGAGAGGUACACAUCACCCACUCCAAGCCCUGGGGUCUAGAGGGAAGAGUCUUCAACCUCCAUGAGACACAGCCUCCCCCGAUGAAGAAGUAGGACUUCAAGGCUGGCAGAGGCCGCUGUCACAGCACCCACGAUGCCGCCUAUGAUGCCAGGAAUGCCAUGCAGAUUGUUAAUGCCACAUGUGUCCUGGAUGUGCAGCCGGGACUCCAGGAAUGGCUGGAGACGGGAGCCUCAUCUGCAAGAUGGGUGUGAUGAUCCCCUCAGAGGUGUUGGCAAGGCAUGGUGAUCAGCGCCCUCCAGGCCCAGGCAGUCAGAGCCACACCCCCAACGCCCUCAUGCUCACCAUGUCCAGCUUGCCCUUCUUGUGCAGGGCACUGGAUAUUGCCACCGAGGUAAGCACGCAGGCUGCCAAG